UGGUGAUGGUUGCCUAGGUUCUUAUAGUAUAUGCUAUUUCAUAUGAUACAAAAGAGCCUUGAGCCAAAUGGGAUUAUCAUGGUUGAUAUCAUUUUAAUUAAUGCUAGGGUUGAGAACAAAUCAAAUACUAUCUGAAUCUAUCAGUUUCUGUACCUGAUUUUUUGAAUCAGAUUCAAAUAAAAGUCCUUGUAUCUAAGGGCAUGAGUUGAAUGUGCCACCA
rnacentral:lncRNA from 1 species